rnacentral:rRNA from 2 species
UCAGGCGUGAAAGCCGGAGGCUUAACCUCCGAACUGCGUUUGAAACUGUGGUGCUUGAGUGAAGUAGAGGUAGGCGGAAUUCCCGGUGUAGCGGUGAAAUGCGUAGAGAUCGGGAGGAACACCAGUGGCGAAGGCGGCUUACUGGGCUUUAACUGACGCUGAGGCACGAAAGCAUGGGUAGCAAACAGGAUUAGAUACCCUGGUAGUCCAUGCCGUAAACGAUGAUUACUAGGUGUGGGGGGUCUGACCCCUUCCGUGCCGGAGUUAACACAAUAAGUAAUCCACCUGGGGAGUACGGCCGCAAGGUUGAAACUCAAAGGAAUUGACGGGGGCCCGCACAAGCAGUGGAGUAUGUGGUUUAAUUCGAAGCAACGCGAAGAACCUUACCCGGGCUUGAAAUGCAGAGGAAUUAUUGGGAAACCGAUACGCCAGCAAUGGUCUCUGUGUAGGUGCUGCAUGGUUGUCGUCAGCUCGUGCCGUGAGGUGUCGGCUUAAGUGCCAUAACGAGCGC